rnacentral:lncRNA from 1 species
GAAGCCCAUUCUGAAAAAUGGUAGUUUCCAUACAUUAUUACCUGGGAUGCUGCCUAAAGCCCAAUGGAAAGACUGGGAUUCAAGGAGACAUUGGUUUGCAAACUCCUCUUAUCUGGGAACCAGGAUGAUCAGAGUUGUAGGUUUGUCAUAUCUCCUGCAUGGAGGAAAAUUGCUUUCUGUAAAUCUUGGUCCAACAGAACAAAACACCUAUUUCUUUCCAGUUGGGGAGACAUCCAUUCUCAUCGGCAUAAUGAAGCUCAACAAUCAACACAGAAGAUGUCUGUAGGCUCAGAAGGUGUGAAGAUUUCUCCUGAGGCUCUGUGGGUGACAUCAGCACAACAGCCUCUACGCCAAGGCAGUUCUGAUGCUGUCUACCUGGAAAUAGAGUCAGAUACCACAGGUUGA